CCCUACGGGAGGCUGCAGUAGGGAAUAUUGCACAAUGGGCGAAAGCCUGAUGCAGCAACGCCGCGUGCGCGAUGAAGGUCUUCGGAUCGUAAAGCGCUUUUCUGGGAGAUGAGAAAGGACAGUAUCCCAGGAAUAAGUCUCGGCUAACUACGUGCCAGCAGCCGCGGUAACACGUAGGAGGCGAGCGUUAUCCGGAUUCACUGGGCGUAAAGCGCGUGCAGGCGGUUCGGUAAGUUGGGCGUGAAAUCUCCCGGCUCAACUGGGAGAGGUCGUCCAAUACUACCGAACUUGAGAGCGAUAGAGGAAAAUGGAAUUCCAGGUGUAGUGGUGAAAUGCGUAGAUAUCUGGAGGAACACCAGUGGCGAAAGCGAUUUUCUGGAUCGUUUCUGACGCUCAGACGCGAAAGCUAGGGUAGCAAACGGGAUUAGAUACCCUAGUAGUC
rnacentral:rRNA from 1 species